AUUGAACGCUGGCGGCAGGCCUAACACAUGCAAGUCGAGCGGAUGAAGAGAGCUUGCUCUCUGAUUCAGCGGCGGACGGGUGAGUAAUGCCUAGGAAUCUGCCUGGUAGCGGGGGACAACGUUUCGAAAGGAACGCUAAUACCGCAUACGUCCUACGGGAGAAAGCAGGGGACCUUCGGGCCUUGCGCUAUCAGAUGAGCCUAGGUCGGAUUAGCUAGUUGGUGAGGUAAUGGCUCACCAAGGCGACGAUCCGUAACUGGUCUGAGAGGAUGAUCAGGCACACUGCAACUGAGACACGGUCCAGACUCCUACGGGCUGCAGCAGUGGGGAAUAUUGGACAAUGGGCGAAAGCCUGAUCCAGCCAUGCCGCGUGUGUGAAGAAGGUCUUCGGAUUGUAAAGCACUUUAAGUUGGGAGGAAGGGCAGUAAGUUAAUACCUUGCUGUUUUGACGUUACCGACAGAAUAAGCACCGGCUAACUCUGUGCCAGCAGCCGCCGUAAAAC
rnacentral:rRNA from 1 species